rnacentral:rRNA from 1 species
GUCUACAGCCAUGCUACCCUGAACAAGUCCGAUCCCAUCUGAUCUCGGAAGCUAAGCAGGGCCAGACCUGGAUAGUACUUGGAUGGGAGACCACCAAGGAAGACCAGGUGCUGCAGGUG